CGAAAAGGAACGAAGCCUAAGAACACCACAUCGUGUGGCAACGCCUUCGUGACCAACAUCCUGUUGG
rnacentral:sRNA from 1 species